UGCCGAGUCGCCAAAUGGUAAGGCACCUGACUCUGGAUCAGGCACGUGUGGGUUCGAGUCCUACCUCGGCAGCCA
rnacentral:tRNA from 1 species